ACAACAAAGUAGGCUUUGGUAUUUUGAUUUAAAUUUUUCUUUAACAAAGUAGGCAUUGAACGAAAUUUCAAUCACAAGAGGCACGGACUCGCAAGCAAAACCCUCAGUUCUACUUUCGCUCCCAAGGGGAAUACACAGCAUUAAAAAUUAUAAACCAGUUCACCCAACAUCAAAAAAGUUUUCAAAUACUUUCGAGAACGGGCUGUAUAUUACUCAGCAACAGAAACGAAAAUAUACUCAGCAAAAGAAGUCCGAAUCCAUAAUAGUGUGAUGUCAAGGCGCAUAAGUUGUGUGCAUAUGAUGCAAAAUACAAUUGACAUUCAUAAGCAACGUUAUGAUUUAUGAAACACAGUCAGAGUGCCCUGUAUUCAAUGAGAAGCAAUUUAAAAGUGGUUCAAAACUGCGGCACGCCCACACUUUUGAACAAUUUUUAAAUUUUCCAAUUUUUUUCAAUAAUAUCUAUCAAUAUCCCAGAUUGAUGCUUCUCUCUUUUUUCAUGUCGAUACAGGGUGCUGUAUCUGUUUCAUAAGUCAUAAAUUUUGUUUAUGAGUGCAAAUUAGUUUUAAUACUAUUUACACCUUUCAACGCCGUGGCAUCACAAUAUUAUGGAUACGUACAUAUCUUUUGCCGACCCGUCCUUGGAAGGUGUUUAAGAACUAUUUUGAUGUUGGGUACACUGUUAUAUAUUUUUGAUUUUUUUUUUUUGGGUGUGUGAAAGGUGCAGAGCCGAGAAAAAAAUUUGUGCAACUGAUCUUUGAAUCAAGCAGACGCUGCCUGCUCCAUAUUUUGGGUUGAUAAAAUCGUACCUGGAAGGAAGGAGGUUCGCUGUGCGCUUUCAUUCAGCAAUUUCCACCGAGCACAACGUGGCAGCUGGUGUUCCACAAGGUAGUGUCCUCGGCCCCUUGCUCUACUGCCUGUAUAGCCACGACAUGCCGCAGCCAGAUGUAAGCCUUUACGGGAAAUCUAUGUUGGCCCGAUGGUCCAGAUGCGACACAGCCGAUGGUAUCCAGGACUUUACAUACCGGUUCUCGGAAUGGCGGAGAACGCCACCGCCCGUCUACAUCGAGGAAGCCCCCG